UUUUUUUUUUUUUUUUUACCCCAGUAUUCUAAGGCUGCUCUAAGGAGUGCUGACAGCCGGGUAACUCAGAGGGCUGUGCAAUGCUAGGGAGCAGCCUCGCAAUCCCUCUGCAUUCAGAGGCUGUGUAUGGCAAGGGAGCCCUCUGGAUGGGCACUGGAGAAACUUUUCAGCAGUAGAAUUGGCCUUAGAGCAGUGAUAAGGACGUUUUUGUUGGUGAGAGGCCUACAGAACUCCAGCCUGGCCCUUCUGGCAUAUAAAAAUAGAGCAGAAAAGGGCAACCAGGCUGGCUGGCAGCAGAUGAUAGCGCCUGGGAUUUCAAGGCACUGUAGCUCUGCAGGGGAUAGAGAACUGCUGAACUGCUUGUCAAACCUACUGCUCAAGAAUGAGUUCCUGCAGGAUGAGGUGUCUUUGAUUACUAGUGAAUCCGACAUGCAACUCCAGGGCUGAAACCAGGGAGCAAACAACCCUUCACAGCCAGCGUGCGUUCAGCACCUAACAGAAGAUUCAGCCAACAGCACCCUCCUCACUUGAUCUCACCAGUGCCUUUCUUCUGCCUGGGGAGUCAGGGAUGCCUGCCCCUUUCCUUCCUCAAACACCCAUCCUUGUUCCUGGCUGGCAGCAUUUCUCCCUUCACAGCCAGAGUGCAAUCAGUCUGGCUGUUGUCUAUUCAAAGCUUGUUGUCAUUCUGCUUCUGCUAUGCCUAAUCUCUGAUUCUCCUGAAAAUAGACCCUAUGGUAAGAAAACAUUUUCUGCUAUUUCAUGCCUUCUUUUAGUUAUUUUGAUACCUGCUUAUCUGUACUCCUCAUAACUCACUGAUACAGUUCCUCCCUCUGUUUUGUAGAUACUUGAA